rnacentral:rRNA from 1 species
GUCCUUUAGAAUUUUAUUUAAGGUCUAGCCUGCCCACUGAAUUAUUUUAAAUGGCCGCAGUAAUUUGACUGUGCAAAGGUAGCAUAAUCAUUAGUUUUUUAAUUAAAAGCUUGUAUGAAGGGCUGGACGAGGUAAAAUCUGUCUCUAAUUAAUUUAAUUUAGAAUUUAACUUUUAAGUCAAAAGGCUUAAAUAAAAUUAAAAGACGAGAAGACCCUAUAGAUCUUUAUAAUUAUUUUAUUAAAUUUUAUUAAGAAUUUUUAUAAUUUUAUUAUUUUAAUUAUUUUAUUGGGGUAAUAUAAAGAUUAAAUAAAUUCUUUAUUUUUAUUUACAUUAAUUUAUGAUUUUAUGAUCCAAUUUUAUUGAUUGUAAGAUUAAGUUACCUUAGGGAUAACAGCGUAAUUUUUUUAAAGAGUUCUUAUCGAUAAAAAAGUUUGCGACCUCGAUGUUGGAUUAAAGAUUAUUUUAGGCGCAGAAGUUUGAAAAUUUUGGUCUGUUCGACCAUUAAAUCUUUACAUGAUCUGAGUUCAGACCGGCGUAAGCCAGGUCGGUUUCUAUCUUUAAUAAAUUAAAAUAUUUUAGUACGAAAGGACCAAUUAUUUAAUAUAAAAUAUUUAAAUUUUGAUUAUUAUUAA